UUGGCACCCCCCGGGAAGCCCGGAUAUCUCUGCGACCCCAAGCGACAUGCGGAAAAUGCAACCAUUCUUUAAACCUUUCACAUUUCACUUUUUUUUUUUUAAACUGUAAAGCAAAGAGCACACUUCACCUGAGAGGACACUGCGCAGCAUGUGUGACACACAGUCGAGAUGUUUUUUUUUGCACAUGACACCCGCCUUAAAGUUUGUCGGUUACAGCGUUACAAAAUGUGUUGCAAAAUCUCCUUGAGACUUGUGUUGUAUGGUGCCUUUUUUAACUUUCGGAGGUGUCGCGUUUGUAAAGAUGUCCGGAGGGGCCGGGAUGCGGGAUGCGGCGUCCUGCGGUGUCGUCCUGCUGUACUUGUGCGUUACACUGGGUCGCUGCACUCUUCUAUGGGCACAGUCCUCUGGGAGCCGUGGCUCUCAUUCUCCCUUUAUCAGGUAGUGACGCCCGGAGGAGAUUUCUCUUUUCUUUAUUUUUUUUUUAACGUAUUUUCUUUCUUCAGAGGUACGUUUAGAGGAACGUAGAGAAUGUUGUUAUCUUGAUCUUCCUGUAUAGAAAUGUGGUUGACCAUUGUGCUCUUUUGUAUCUAUUCCUACACACUGCAUUUUGAAAUCCACUGAGCCAGUUCUACACCAUUUGAUUUUAUAAAUAAACUAAGUGUCAAUCUAACACUGCUCUUUUAUUUAGGCGGAUGAUAACGGGCGUGUGUUUGAAGCUGUGCGACAUGCCCUAACGCCUCUUGUGUUUUUGCUGCCGUCUCCAAACUGUCACUUUGAGCUGUUAAGCAGAAUAGAUGAAAAACGCCAGAAAUAGUCAUGGUGCAGUUUAAAUAUAGAACGCUGAGUGGCAUUGCAGUUAACGUUGGUUAUUCUGGGUCUCCUCUGUAGAACAAACACGAUUCUUUUUAGAUUCAUCCUUGAAUUUAUCUGGAAAAAGAAUUGUUGAUAUAGAAUUAGACAGGGUGUGUAUUCGGUCUUAAAUAAACAGGAUUUUACUGAUGCGCUGACACACAACGGCACACACAUUUACUGCUGAGAUCCUUCAGCCAGUGCUUGAUGAUUAUGUCUAUUUCAAACCAUCAGAAACAAAAUAAACCAAAGAUUUUUUUGUUUGUUAUUGCUUGAUUUUUAAUGCUGAUUCAAACAUAGUUUCAUUUGAGCUGGUAUCAGAAGUUAGGAGUGACGAUGCAGGAGAGGCAUCCGCGCCUGUUAGGGGCAAACUCUUUGUUCGCCUUCACAGGCAGUCGGAAAUGUUGUUGCAGGCACGGAUUCUUCAGUUCGAUAUUCUUAUGACCGUUUUCUAGCAGAAGAUAAUAUGAAUAUUGUACAGAUUCGAGUAUAGAAGUUAUCUUACCUUUCAUAAGCAGUAUCAUUAGCCUAUUUUGUUUGCUUGCUUUGUUUCAUUUAAAAUAAAUGAAUAAGACAGAAAUU
ensembl:lncRNA